GUUGAAACACUGGUUCUCAUAGCAUCACUGAAGUUAAGCAACAUGAGACAGGUCAGUACCUAGAUGGAUGACCACUUGGGAAUACCAGGUGCUGUAAG